rnacentral:tRNA from 1 species
GGUUUCUUGGCGCAGUUGGUUAGCGCGUCUCCUUAACAACUCCGGUCCCUCUUCGGAUCGUUAGGGCUUACGGAGGAGGUCGCCGGUUCGAACCCGGCAGAAAUCA